GGAUUUUAGCAUGGACAGACUCAAGACACAGUGCGCACGCAGCCUCUUCACUGACCAGUCGUUCCCAGGACUUGCAAUAGUCCAUGAUGAGGCGACUUGCUGAGAAACUGGAGCUGGGGAGUGAGAAAAUCAAAAGGACUUAUAAGCGUCAUACUAUCAACAGUACUGCUGGCAGGGGAAAAGAAAACUACUGUACAGGUCAACACAUGGAAUAGUGUCCUUCAAAAAUCAGUCGAAAUACCCAAGGGCUCAACAGGUAUUGCAAUAUGACCGAAUCUCAUCCAUUUUCUGUACAUUUUAUUAACAGAAGACAACAGGAAUGUGAAAUUCUGUAUAAAAUGAAGGGACCAAGUGAUUGUGCUAAGCUACACUCUGUUAUGGAAGGCAGUCCUGCAUCCAAGCGAGCCAAACUCAGAGCUUCUCUACACUGAAGUCUU